ACGGGGGAAACUUGUGCUAAUACCGAAUAAGCCUUUACAGGGAAAGUUUUAACGCCGAAAGAUGAGCCCGCACUUGAUUAGCUAGUUGGUAAGGUAAAAGCUUACCAAGGCAACGAUCAAUAGCUGUUCUUAGAGGAAGACCAGCCACAUUGGGACUGAGACACGGCCCAGACUCCUACGGGAGGCAGCAGUGGGGAAUCUUGCACAAUGGGGGAAACCCUGAUGCAGCGAUGCCGCGUGAGUGAAGAAGGCCCUUGGGUUGUAAAACUCUUUCGUCGGGGAAGAAAAUGACUGUACCCGAAUAAGAAGGUCCGGCUAACUUCGUGCCAGCAGCCGCGGUAAUACGAAGGGACCUAGCGUAGUUCGGAAUUACUGGGCUUAAAGAGCUCGUAGGUGGUUAAAAAAGUUGAUGGUGAAAUCCCAAGGCUCAACCUUGGAACUGCCAUCAAAACUUUUUAGCUAGAGUGUGAUAGAGGUAAGUGGAAUUUCUAGUGUAGAGGUGAAAUUCGUAGAUAUUAGAAAGAACACCAAAUGCGAAGGCAACUUACUGGGUCACUACUGACACUGAGGAGCGAAAGCAUGGGUAGCGAAGAGGAUUAGAUACCCUCGUAGUCCAUGCCGUAAACGAUGUGUGCUAGACGUUGGAAAUAUAUUUUUCAGUGUCGCAGCGAAAGCAUUAAGCACACCGCCUGGGGAGUACGACCGCAAGGUUAAAACUCAAAUGAAUUGACGGGGACCCGCACAAGCAGUGGAGCAUGUGGUUUAAUUCGAAGAUACGCGCAGAACCUUACCAACGCUUGACAUGUUCGUCGCGAGACUAAGAGAUUAGUCUUUUCAGUUAGGCUGGACGAAACACAGGUGCUGCAUGGCUGUCGUCAGCUCGUGUCGUG
rnacentral:rRNA from 1 species